GACGAACGCUGGCGGCGUGCUUAACACAUGCAAGUCGAACGGAAAGGCCCUGCUUUUGUGGGGUGCUCGAGUGGCGAACGGGUGAGUAACACGUGAGUAACCUGCCCUUGACUUUGGGAUAACUUCAGGAAACUGGGGCUAAUACCGGAUAGGAGCUCCUGCUGCAUGGUGGGGGUUGGAAAGUUUCGGCGGUUGGGGAUGGACUCGCGGCUUAUCAGCUUGUUGGUGGGGUAGUGGCUUACCCAGGCUUUGACGGGUAGCCGGCCUGAGAGGGUGACCGGCCACAUUGGGACUGAGGUGCGGCCCAGACGCAUACGGGAGGCAAGAGUGGGGAAUAUUGCACAAUGGGCCGCAGCCGUAUGCAGCAACGCCGCGUGCGGGAUGACGGCCUUCGGGUUGAAACCGCUUUCGCCUGUGACGAAGCGUGAGUGACGGUAAUGGGUAAAGAAGCACCGGCUAACUACGUG
rnacentral:rRNA from 1 species